AGGGAAUUUUCCACAAUGGACGAAAGUCUGAUGGAGCAACGCCGCGUGAACGAUGAAGGUCUUCGGAUUGUAAAGUUCUGUUGUCAGGGACGAACAAGUACCGUUCGAACAGGGCGGUACCUUGACGGUACCUGACGAGAAAGCCACGGCUAACUACGUGCCAGCAGCCGCGGUAAUACGUAGGUGGCAAGCGUUGUCCGGAAUUAUUGGGCGUAAAGCGCGCGCAGGCGGCUAUGUAAGUCUGGUGUUAAAGCCCGGGGCUCAACCCCGGUUCGCAUCGGAAACUGUGUAGCUUGAGUGCAGAAGAGGAAAGCGGUAUUCCACGUGUAGCGGUGAAAUGCGUAGAGAUGUGGAGGAGCACCAGUGGCGAAGGCGGCUUUCUGGUCUGUAACUGACGCUGAGGCGCGAAAGCGUGGGGAGCAAAC
rnacentral:rRNA from 1 species